rnacentral:lncRNA from 1 species
UGUGAGAAUCUGGUUGAAGGUAAGGGCUGGUUUUGCACAAACUGGAUAUUUAUUUAAAGUUGAAUUUUGCAGUACUUCAUGAUGUUCUAUAGGAAAAGGUAUUAUCUCUGACCGCCAGAACACAUUUUCAACAUGGCUGGGUUAAAAAAGCCAGGCGGCCUCGCAGGGCACUGCAGACCCGUCAUAGGAGACCACGGGAACUGGAGCCUGAGGCAGGCGACACCCCCACCUGACUCCCGGGGCACCUCUUCCACGAUGCUUGAUGUGCAGCCAAAUAAAUGCCAUUAUGAUGACCUCAGCUUGUCCUGCCCAAAUCUCCCUCUCUCCGUCUAAGAUAUGGCCAUAACCGCUUGUUUCUAGAUUGGUUCUGCUCGCUCCGUGGGGGAUGUAGUGGCUGUGUUCACCAUGCCUCUGUGCCCGUAACCCCACAAAGCCAAGCCCACACAGGAGAACUAGGACCCGUCUGUGUAUAUACUUGGCUUUGCAGUGGAGACUUUGCCUCCAGAAAAAUUCAAAAUCCUCACCCCCAGGAAGACUUGCUGAUUGACCAACACUAUCCGCACCAUCGCAUCCAUCUGCCCAUGCUGACCCCGCCCGCGAGUGAUCCAUCAGACGUCUGUGAGGUGGUCGGGGCCUGGC